ACCCCUGGAGCUCUCUGCUUGAUACUGGCUGCCAGCUAGACAUCGAGCCAUUGAUCACUACCCGUUGAGCCAGACAAUCUAGCCAGCUUUCUAUCCACCUUAUAAUCCAUUCAUCUAAUCCGUACUACUUUAACUUCUGGCAAGAAUAUUGUUGGAGACCAUAUCAAAAGCUUUGCUAAAGUCAAGAAACAAGACAUCCACUGCU